CAUAUCAAUAAGCGGAGGAAAAGAAACUAACAAGGAUUCCCCUAGUAACUGCGAGUGAAGCGGGAAAAGCUCAAAUUUAAAAUCUGGCAGUCUCUGGCUGUCCGAGUUGUAAUCUAGAGAAGUGCUAUCCGCGCUGGACCGUGUACAAGUCUCCUGGAAUGGAGCGUCGUAGAGGGUGAGAAUCCCGUCUUUGACACGGACUGCCAGGGCUUUGUGAUGCGCUCUCAAAGAGUCGAGUUGUUUGGGAAUGCAGCUCAAAAUGGGUGGUAAAUUCCAUCUAAAGCUAAAUAUUGGCGAGAGACCGAUAGCGAACAAGUACCGUGAGGGAAAGAUGAAAAGAACUUUGGAAAGAGAGUUAAACAGUACGUGAAAUUGCUGAAAGGGAAACGCUUGAAGUCAGUCGCGUUGACCAGGGAUCAACCUUGCUUUUGCUUGGUGUACUUUCUGGUUGACGGGUCAGCAUCAAUUUUGACUAUUGGAAAAAGAUCAAGGGAAUGUGGCAUCUUCGGAUGUGUUAUAGCCCUUGGUUGCAUACAAUGGUUGGGAUUGAGGAACUCAGCACGCCGCAAGGCCGGGUUUAACCACGUACGUGCUUAGGAUGCUGGCAAAAUGGCUUUAAUCGACCCGUCUUGAAACACGGACCAAGGAGUCUAACAUGCCUGCGAGUGUUUGGGUGGAAAACCCAAGCGCGUAAUGAAAGUGAAAGUUGAGAUCCCUGUCGUGGGGAGCAUCGACGCCCGGACCAGACCUUCUGUGACGGUUCCGCGGUAGAGCAUGUAUGUUGGGACCCGAAAGAUGGUGAACUAUGCCUGAAUAGGGUGAAGCCAGAGGAAACUCUGGUGGAGGCUCGUAGCGAUUCUGACGUGCAAAUCGAUCGUCAAAUUUGGGUAUAGGGGCGAAAGACUAAUCGAAACCAUCUAGUAGCUGG
rnacentral:rRNA from 1 species